CACCAUUUAUAGGUUGCCGAGCCAAGGUUGGUUAGCUAUCUAGAGUAAUAUAGAGAGGGUGCGCCGAAGUUUUAGUUUUGACAAAUUGGAAAAGUAAAAUGCUUUAGGAUGGAAAAAACGUAAGGGUCAAUGAAACGAUCGGCAAGGUUCGUAGCCAAGUGGAUGCUCUGUUCGUAAAACGCAGAAAUUUUUAAAAGGGAGUUCUGAGUACAAUACACUUACUUGCAAUGAUGAAAUUUCUCAAUGUUUUACAGGCACCAUCGGUUGGUUGAAAUCAGAGAAAAGCUGAGGUGAUGUAACCAGUUCUACUAGACUUUCUGGCAAAAGAAGUUUGUGGAGUAUUGCGAAACGAGUUCCAUCAUGCACUUAACCGACGGCAAAACCACCAUGUUCGUAGGAGGUGGAUUAACCCAGUCAACUUUGAAGGUACCUGGGGGAUUAGUUUACGACCAUCAAUUUGCUUUCCGUCGUAGAGAAGAAGCGCUUUUCGAGCAUCGGUGUGUCGUUCGAAGAUGACGCUGGCUUUACCACUGUAAGACCCGUUCUCAUUCAAGUGCAUGCUGAAAAACUUCACGGGCCCUGCGAGUUCUUCAAGGAAGGCCACAACUUCUUCGCUAGAAACUGAAUAAGGGAUGUUUGAGACAUGUAAGUAUUCUUCGUAUACUUCCGGUGUAACUUCAGCAGGGGGCCGAGGGACAAAAGGUCUAAUGCAGUCCAUCACGAAAACGUAGGGAAGGAAUGAUCGGUUGAGCAUCAAUGGAAUCGGACGCAGUGGAUAUUACAUCUAAAUCCGAUGUCGCAGGGACGACAAGAGCUGGAACCAACUCCUGGCCGUCGGCUGGAAUCGAAUCAUCAGUAUCAGUCGACAAAGGGACUUGAGCGACCGACAACUUGGCCGCUUUCUUCUUUGCCUUUCGGCGUUCUUUCAGAGCGAUGUUCCUCUUUUGAUUUCUGGUUGAAUAAAUGGGUCACACAUAACUUCAUCCACGGAUUGCUCAGUUUGGAGCGGAGCUGACUGUAGUUGGAUCUCGCUCGCAGUUGGAUGUUGUUCUUCCGCUGCAUCGAAGACUACAGAUUGCGCCUGACCGAGUAGGUUAUCUUCUGAACACUGUUCCUGUCGAAUGACGACGAGAAAAUCUGCUUGUGGCAUCUCCUCUCGCCAGCCAUCUUCAGAAAGUUCAGCAACUUCAGGGAUUAACACUGCAUCGAUUUUUGCAAAGACGGUGGAACUCUGAGGUGGUAAAAUGGCGCUCUCUGUAGUAAGUUGGAUGCUGGCGGAAUCAGCUCGUCCUACGGUGAUCUUUCUCACAGGAAUUCUGGAAUCGAAUUUCUCUGGGAGGGCAGAUCUGGCCCGAAGAGCUUUGGGAAGUGAUUCAACCAAAGUCUUCUUGGCGGCUAUAUGUUGGCCGUCGUCGCCUUUAAGGGUGUCACGAUCCCGAUGUUUUUGGCGACUUGUGGUGCUGGCAGGAAUACGCACCGGGAUCUUGGAACGAAAGAAACUGGCCUCAUCUGGUUUCUUGAGGGGUACAGAAGCGUAAGGUGGCGUCUUGACUGCAAGAGGAGAUGGUGUACGCGCCUCUGUCGCGGAAGGUUUCGCAGGAAGUGGAGGUACAGGAAUGGCCGGCUUGGCGAGGAACUUGCGAACGCCCGGUGGUAAUGCACGGCCAUGCACUUCUCGAAAAGCCUUCUUGGUCCCCGGCAGUGGUGGUGGGGGUGGAAAUGCUGAGUAACGUGGCAUUUCGAUGAAGAUGGGAUGCGAAGGAGAUGAAAAUGAGGAGAAUGAAGCCAAAACUGAAGAUCGGGGAUUGGAAAACGGGCGUAGGAUGGAAUAGUUCUGAAAAGAACUGUUGUGAAGUAGUUCUGAAAAGAACUUUUGGCGAAAUAGUUCUGAAAAGAACUGUCGGUGAAAUAGUUCUGAAAAGAACUGUCGUUGAAAACUGUCGGAAGUUCGACGAAAACACGGGUAAGUCACGAGGUGAAAAACAAGAGGUAAUUGCGAGAAUUCUGAGAAAUCUGCGAUUAACAUUAUAAUUUAACGAAUUUGAUGAUAUAGGUUUCAGUAAUGAUGCCAUUGCGUGCAACCGUCAUUGAUGGUUUCUUUUGUGAUUUUUCGGUGGGUAAUUAUUAAGCUGUGGUAUUUCUGUCAAGGAAAUUGUUAAGUUUGAAAUAUUUCCCACAUCGUUCAAAAAGAUUUUUGUUUUUUUCCUAUUAUAAAUUCUAUAUAAACUAUUCUAUAGCUCUGCCAAAAUAUAAAAAGCUGGCGUUCAGGGUAAAGUGAAAAUACAUUGUGCGGAGCAAAUUCAAACGGAGUAAGGCACAUUGGCAGUUGGCACUUACUCAUAUGUUAUGUCGGGUUUUUUUAGGGUGUUUGAUUCCGACACAGGUAAUUUCAUCGAUCCAUUGAAUGAUCGUAAUUGAGAGAUCCAUUGAAAUGAUCAAUGGAGGUCGCGGUAAGGACAUUAUCAUCUGUAAUGUUAGCAGUGCUGUGGACAAAAAAAAGGUUUUUGAAAGGAUGCUUAUUGGCCUUGUGCUGCCUGUGUUUCAAUGUAUUUGGAAACUCACUGUUUUUCAGUUUGAAAAGAUCUGGAAUGCAAGUUCAAUAUGAUUGCGUAAGUAGCCUGUUCAUUUCCAGCCUCCUUCUGUUAUUGUAUUCAAGAUUUCUACAAAAUGGUCAUGGUAGUUCUAUGAUCAAUGAUGAAUAUGGUAACAUUAAACAAGCAAAAGUACCUUUUACAUUUUCAGAGAAAACAUGCCUUUGCGGCUUUGCCCCUCCCAAGCUACAGAGCAGAGCUUCAUAUGUUUGGUUGCAGUAUAAAGUG